rnacentral:rRNA from 1 species
AUGGGCGCAGCUGUACCAGCGACGCCGCGUGAGGGAUGAAGGCCUUCAGGUUGUAAACCUCUUUCAGUAGGGAAGAAGCGAAGUGACGGUACCUAAAGAAGAAGCACCGGCUAACUAUGUGCCAGCAGCCGCGGUAAUACAUAGGGUGCAAGCGUUGUCCGGAAUUAUUGGGCGUAAAGAGCUCGUAGGUUGUUUGACACGUCGAUUGUGAAAAUCUGAGGCUCAACCUCAGACCUGCAGUCGAUACGGUCAAACUAGAGUGUGGUACGGGAGACUGGAAUUCCUGAUGUAGCGGUGGAAUGCGCAGAUAUCAGGAGGAACACCAAUGGCGAAGGCAGGUCUCUGGGCCAUAACUGACACUGAGGAGCGAAUGCGCGGGGAGCGAACAGGAUUAGAUACCCUGGUAGUCCGCGCCGUACACGGUGGGCACUAACUGUGGGUACCUUC